GAUGAACGCUGGCGGCGUGCCUAAUACAUGCAAGUCGAACGAAAAGGCCCUGCUCUUGCGCCGUGCUCGAGAGCCGAACGGGUGAGUAUCACGCGAGUAUCCCCUCCUUAUCUUUGUGAGAACUCUUGGAAACAGCGGAGAUAACACGGGAGAAUAUCUUGCACCGCGGGGUGCGAUGGAAAGUGUCGGCGGUGGGGGCUGUACUCGAUGCUUAUGAGCUGGUUGGUGGGGUAGUGGAUUUCCAAGCUUUCGACGGCUAGCCGGCCUGGGAGGGUGAACGGCCACAUGGGGACUGAGGUACGGACCAGACUCCUACGGGAGGCAGCAGUGGGGAAUAUUGCAGAAUGGGCGGAAGCCUGAUGCAGCAGCGCCGCGUGCGGGAUGCCGGCCUACGAGUUGUAAACCGCUUUCGCCGGUGCCGUAGCGUUAGUGACGGUAAUGGGUAAAGAAGCACCGGCUAACUACGUG
rnacentral:rRNA from 1 species